UACGGGGGGGGCAAGCGUUGUUCGGAAUUACUGGGCGUAAAGGGCUCGUAGGCGGCCAACUAAGUCGGACGUGAAAUCCCCAGGCUCAACCUGGGAACUGCGUCCGAUACUGGAUGGCUUGAAUUCGGGAGAGGGAUGUGGAAUUCCAGGUGUAGCGGUGAAAUGCGUAGAUAUCUGGAGGAACACCGGUGGCGAAGGCGGCAUCCUGGACCGAUAUUGACGCUGAUGCGCGAAAGCCAGGGGGGCAAACGGG
rnacentral:rRNA from 1 species